rnacentral:rRNA from 1 species
CACGCCUUCCUUUGUUUCUUCUUCCACCCACCUGUGCACAUUUUGUAGGCUUUGGAUAUCUCUCGAGGAGACUCGGUCCUUGGAGGGGUUGUCAUUCGUGGCAGCCUCUCUACAUUUCCAGCCUACGUUCUUCAUAUACACCAUUGUAUGUCACUGAAUGCAUCGAUUUGGGCCGUCAAAGGCCUAUAAACCUUAUACAACUUUCAACAACGGAUCUCUUGGCUCUCGCAUCGAUGAAGAACGCAGCGAAAUGCGAUAAGUAAUGUGAAUUGCAGAAUUCAGUGAAUCAUCGAAUCUUUGAACGCACCUUGCGCUCCUUGGCAUUCCGAGGAGCAUGCCUGUUUGAGUGUCAUUAAAUUCUCAAUCCAUAAUAUUUAUUUAUUAUGGACUUGGAUGUGGGAGUGUGCAGGCCCCUUUAGAAGGAUCUGCUCUUCUUAAAUGCAUUAGUCGGACUUGUUGCAACAGUCUGUGGUGUGAUAAUUAUCUACGCCCAGGCCCUGUGCAGUCUUGCGGUCCAGCUUCCAAUGGUCCAUUCAAUUGGACAGCUCAUUGACAAUUUGACCUCAAAUCAGGUAGGACUACCCGCUGAACUUAAGCAUAUCAAUAAACGGAGGAAAAGAAACUAACAAGGAUUCCCCUAGUAACUGCGAGUGAAGCGGG